UGGGGAAUAUUGCACAAUGGGCGCAAGCCUGAUGCAGCCAUGCCGCGUGUGUGAAGAAGGCCUUCGGGUUGUAAAGCACUUUCAGCGGGGAGGAAGGCGUUAAGGUUAAUAACCUUGGCGAUUGACGUUACCCGCAGAAGAAGCACCGGCUAACUCCGUGCCAGCAGCCGCGGUAAUACGGAGGGUGCAAGCGUUAAUCGGAAUUACUGGGCGUAAAGCGCACGCAGGCGGUUGAUUGAGUCAGAUGUGAAAUCCCCGGGCUUAACCCGGGAAUUGCAUCUGAUACUGGUCAGCUAGAGUCUUGUAGAGGGGGGUAGAAUUCCAUGUGUAGCGGUGAAAUGCGUAGAGAUGUGGAGGAAUACCGGUGGCGAAGGCGGCCCCCUGGACAAAGACUGACGCCCAGGUGCGAAAGCGUGGGGAGCAAACAGG
rnacentral:rRNA from 1 species